rnacentral:pre_miRNA from 1 species
CGUGCACUGGUGGGGUCCCUCAGCCUGGCCUGUGCCCUCUCACAAUCUGAGACCCCUCAGGGGAUGUCGGAGAGCCAGUUUCGGCCCGAUCCCGCAGGCCAGGCUGAGGGACCCCACUGGUGCACG